GGGCUCGUAGCUCAGCUGGCUAGAGCGUUGCACUCACAUUGCAGAGGUCACAGGUUCAAGUCCUGUCGAGCCCA
rnacentral:tRNA from 1 species